AACAAGACAGAAGAUAGUCAAUCUUACUGUCGCGCAUACCUGAAGCGGGUCUGCCGCCUUCGUUUCUCUUUCUUCGCGAAUGACUAACCUCCCUUUGGCUAUGCCCACAAGGCGUGCCUUGCCGGUGCAAAUGGUGCCAGCAGGGUUCGGUUUAGGGCUUGUAGCUCAGUUGGUUAGAGCGCGCGCUUGAUAAGCGUGAGGUCGGAGGUUCAAGUCCUCCCAGGCCCACCAUCAACAGUGCAACCCGAAGGGUUGUCGCUGCCGAUCGCUACCGAUCGGGAAGCUAUCAGGGGCCGUAGCUCAGCUGGGAGAGCGCCUGCUUUGCAAGCAGGAUGUCGUCGGUUCGAUCCCGUCCGGCUCCACCAACACGCGAUCCGCAGGAUCGUCGUGAAUGCGCAAUCCGCAAGGAUUGUCGCAUCGCGAUCCGCAGGAUCGCGCUUAGGUGUUGAGUAGAGAUUGAGGGGAAAGUCAUUCGAAAAUGAGUUUGCGGCGAGCUUAGCGCUCCCCGCCUGUUCUGUUUGACAUCGUAAAGAGAAGAUUUGUUCGAACUUCAUGGUCCGCGAGGAUCGUGAUUUGUCGCAAGGGACGCUCAAUCCCUUGCCUAUGAUGGGUUGCCUAACCGCGCCCUCGAACCGAUCUCGAGAAGCUGGUCUUUUUGUG
rnacentral:tRNA from 2 species